GAUGAACGCUGGCGGCGUGCCUAAUACAUGCAAGUCGAGCGAACGGACGAGAAGCUUGCUUCUCUGAUGUUAGCGGCGGACGGGUGAGUAACACGUGGAUAACCUACCUAUAAGACUGGGAUAACUUCGGGAAACCGGAGCUAAUACCGGAUGAUAUUUUGAACCGCAUGGUUCAAAAGUGAAAGACGGUCUUGCUGUCACUUAUAGAUGGAUCCGCGCUGCAUUAGCUAGUUGGUAAGUUAACGGCUUACCAAGGCAACGAUGCAUAGCCGACCUGAGAGGGUGAUCGGCCACACUGGAGCUGGGACACGGUCCAGACUCCUACGGGAGGCAGCAGUAGGGAAUCUUCCGCAGUGGGCGAAAGCCUGACGGAGCAACGCCGCGUGAGAGAUGAAGGUCUUGGGAUCGUAAAACUCUGUUAUUAGGGAAGAACAUAUGUGUAAGUAACUGUGCACAGCUUGACGGUACCUAAUAAGAAAGCCACGGCUAACUACGUG
rnacentral:rRNA from 1 species